UCCUAGUACGCACCGCAACGGGCAGGAGUGGGGGACCCACCAUCCGGGCGUCUCUGACGCCCUUGGGGUUAAGCAGGCUCGUCCCAGCCAUCCGGUGUGGGGAGAACGUUUCCCACGCAGUACCGACGGCCAGGGGCGGACCGGCCGGGCCAUCCCAGCCCGCACCCGACAGCUCACCCCGCAGGCGAUCGGGAUUGGACUG
rfam:Frankia alni str. ACN14A chromosome, complete sequence.